AGUUGGUUAAACCUGUUGAUACAAAUACUGAAGAUUGUGAAGAAGCAGCAGCAAAAAUAGGUGAAUAUGGGGCAAAGAAUAGUGGCAGAACUAUUAAAUGGGGAAGUUCUAGCCCAAAUAUCACCACUGUGAAUGAGCCUGGGAAUGAUGGCAACUCUUCUCAUGUUGCCAAAGAUGAUGAUGGGCUCAAAAAGUGUAUGAAUGAAUCAACAGAAAAACCUGUCAAUGAAUUACCGGAACAGGUCAAGCCUUCUGUUCUUCCUAAGGCAAAUUGUAUGACAGAAGAAGCAAAUGUGGUUGAUUGCAGGGGUAAUGAAAUGAAUAACAAUGUUGUCUCUG
rnacentral:misc_RNA from 1 species